UGGCGAACUGGUGAGUAACAGGUGGGUAAUAUGCCUCAAAGUGGGGGAUAACACUCGGAAACGGGUGCUAAUACCGCAUACGGCACGGGUAGCGUUGGCUUGUCCGUGUUAAAGGCUUCGGCCGCUUUGAGAUUAGCCCGCCCCUGAUUAGCUAGUUGGUAGGGUAAUGGCCUACCAAGGCUGUGAUCAGUAGCUGGUCUGAGAGGAUGGUCAGCCACACUGGGACUGAGAUACGGCCCAGACUCCUACGGGAGGCAGCAGUCUAGAGGCUUCGGCAAUGGACGAAAGUCUGACCGAGCGACGCCGCGUGCGGGAUGAAGGCCGUGAGGUUGUAAACCGCUGUCAGCAGGGAAGAAUGCCCGAAUGGCGAAUUUGGGAGCGACGGUACCUGCAGAGGAAGCCCCGGCUAACUCCGUGCCAGCAGCCGCGGUAAUACGGAGGGGGCAAACGUUGUUCGGAAUUACUGGGCGUAAAGGGUGCGUAGGCGGUUCGGCAAGUCUUGCGUGAAAUCUCGUUGCUUAACAACGAAACUGCGCUGGAUACUGCUGAGCUCGAGGGUGGGAGAGGCUAGUGGAAUUCCUGGUGUAGCGGUGGAAUGCGUAGAUAUCAGGAAGAACACUUGUGGCGAAGGCGGCUAGCUGGCCCAUUCCUGACGCUGAGGCACGAAAGCCAGGGGAGCGAACGGGAUUAGAUACCCCGGUAGUCCUGGCCGUAAACGGUGAACACUAGGUGUCGGGGGUAUCGACCCCCUCGGUGCCGGAGCUAACGCAUUAAGUGUUCCGCCUGGGGAGUACGACCGCAAGGUUGAAACUCAAAGGAAUUGACGGGGGCCCGCACAAGCGGUGGAGUAUGUGGUUUAAUUCGACGCAACGCGAAGAACCUUACCAGGGCUCAAACUGCAGGGUAAACCUCUCGAAAGGGAGGCUGCUUCGGCGAUCCUGUAGAGGUGCUGCAUGGCUGUCGUCAGCUCGUGUCGUGAGAUGUUGGGUUAAGUCCCGCAACGAGCGCAACCCUUGUUCUUAGUUACCAGCGCGUUAUGGCGGGGACUCUAAGAAGACUGCCGUCGCAAGACGGAGGAAGGUGGGGAUGACGUCAAGUCCUCAUGGCCCUUAUGUCCUGGGCUACACACGUACUACAAUGGGCGGUACAACGAGUCGCGAGGCCGCGAGGUCAAGCUAAUCUCUUAAAGCCGCCCCCAGUUCAGAUUGCAGUCUGCAACCCGACUGCAUGAAGUCGGAAUCGCUAGUAAUCGCAGAUCAGCACGCUGCGGUGAAUACGUUCCCGGGCCUUGUACACACCGCCCGUCACAUCACGAAAGUCAGCUGUACCGGAAGUCGCUGAGCUAACCGCAAGG
rnacentral:rRNA from 1 species